UGGGGAAUAUUGCGCAAUGGGCGAAAGCCUGACGCAGCGACGCCGCGUGGGGGAUGAAGCUUCUCGGAGUGUAAACCCCUUUCGACCCGGACGAAUGUCCCGCAAGGGAUUGACGGUACGGGUAUAAGAAGCCCCGGCUAACUACGUGCCAGCAGCCGCGGUAAUACGUAGGGGGCCAGCGUUGCUCGGAAUUACUGGGCGUAAAGGGUUCGUAGGCGGUGUGGCAAGUCGGAAGUGAAAUCUCCAGGCUUAACUUGGAGGCUGCUCCCGAAACUGCCAUGCUAGAGUGCGGGAGAGGCCAGUGGAAUUGCAGGUGUAGCGGUGAAAUGCGUAGAUAUCUGCAGGAACACCCGUGGCGAAGGCGGCUGGCUGGACCGCAACUGACGCUGAGGAACGAAAGCUAGGGGAGCAAACAGGAUUAGAUACCCCUGUAGUCC
rnacentral:rRNA from 1 species